GACCCUUAACCAACUGAGCCAUCAAGGCACCCCUAAAAAGGUUUGCGGUAGACAAGUGUCCAAUAUUGGAUGAGUCACAUGCUGUAUCCUGUGAAAGUCUUGUCUUAUGGAUGCCAGAAGCUACUGCAGGUUCAGAAUGGGCACGUGCGGCUGACAGCGCUGCGCCUCAUCCCAGACGUGCUGGACACUCAUCUCAGGAAGGCUCCAGACCCCAUGUGUACAAACAGAGGAAAGGUUUUAGUUGAGAAGCUACGAGGGACCAUGAAUGAGAUGCUACCUGAACAGCAGUAGCAGCAACAGCAAAGACUUGUAUUUCGUGGAGAAGUCAGACACUUCUAGAAGAGCUGCGGGGAACAAAGACCAUGCAGGGAAAACAAGUCCUAAACUUAGAAAGUUCUUUUGUGAAGGGAGAAGACAUGGGCGGAAGGCAGAGGCACUGCACUGUCAGCUGAGCAACUGCUUUUUGUAAAUCACUCUCUUCUGGAGCUCUGCAUUUUUUUUAAAUGUAGAUAAGCAGCCUAGCAUCCAAAGCAAACUCAGCUUAAGCUGAGAAUCCAAACAAACCAUAAAGAUGCUGGUACCUCAGUUCAAAUCCAAGUGAAAGCAAAGAACAAAAGGAAGCAAUGUUGCUUGUGAGAACAUGUUGAUUUCAAACUAGCUUUUUUUUUUCUAUUUCUUUUUUUAAGAUUUUAUUUAUUUAUUCACGAGACAGACACACACAUACACACACACACACACACACAGAGAGAGAGAGAGAGAGGCCGAGACAUAGGCAG